ACAGAGACAUCAGGCAAGUCAAGGGUCGCAAUGAGCCAGGGUUCAGCCUGGAGUCUGGCCUGCAGAGCCCUUAGCCCCUGUACUGCACUCAGGAUAACGCAGGGCUGGGAUGUGCUGACCACGACUUACUGCUUGUCUUGAAGGUCACUGGUCAGGUGGAGGUAUUAGUGCUCCUGUGUAGCGACGUUUGAAUGUACUGGGCCGGCGGCCGGGGACCAGGAAGGAGCACGGCAGAGUCCUUGCUGUCAAGGAGUCCUUUUACGGAGGAAAAUAGGAGCACGAGGUCAGCUGCAGAGGACUCAGAGCACAGAGACCGGGUUCUACUUAGAAGGGCAGACCCAGAGAGCAAAAGGAGGUGGGCAAUGGCACAUCCAUCAUAGGAGUCACAUCCCUCACCUGGAAAAGUGAUGAAUGAGGCCCCUGUUCCAUAAAUUUCCCCCAAACCCUAACAUCCUGCCAUCUUCACGCCUGGUCACUGUCCUGCUCAGGAAUGGGCCCCACUGGCCACAUGCUGGUGAUCAAGUCAGCAAGACUGUGCCAGGCUUGCAAGGCAAGAUACUGGGGACAACUGGGAGGCAAGAUACUGGGGACAACUGGGUGCUUCCUGUGACUGCAGUUCACUGUGCUGAGUAAAAACAUAAUGCGCAGACAGGGCUACGACCAUAAGAAAAACAAAAGCCACAAAAUGGUCCAGGUAGCAGGGACACUACCCGCCUCAGAUGUGCAGACCCCUGGGGCCUGUGUUCACAGCAUGGUCCGUAUUCAUGGAAUGGAACGAGGGAGCCGCAUGCUUUCGUUCUCUGGAAGAGUAUCUGCUGUCACCCACUCCUGACAUCGACGCUUUCUAGCUCAGAGCUUUAUGGGCUGUUAUCCAAGAUUGCUUGUGGGUUAUUAUUGAAGAUGGCUCUGUCGCUCUGACAACCAAGCAUGUUGCCUGGCAACCGUUUUCUUGUUGAUUUUGUAUCUCCUCUUAUCGUGGUUUCUGUAUCUUCAGCAAAUCUAUCCCUAUUCUGCUCCCUCCUACUCAGAAUAAAGUCUCUUUACAUUCCUGAAUUACCAGGCACAGAAACAGAGUGACAGAUUCACCAGGCUUAAUCCUAAGAGACUGAGUGAGUUUCACUGCUAUGACUGCGCCUCAACUUUGAGUUUGAAGCAUUGCGGGAAAAAUCCCUGCUGACUUUUAAAAUGUGACCUGUGAGGCUGGUGGCGGAGCGCACAGCUGUUCUGGGGGAGACGAAGUGGUGAAAACGUUGGCAGAUUCUUAAGCGGUUGUCAUUCAAACUUGGAGGGUGCUGAGCAUGUACUGUACCUGAAAGAGGGCCGGUCUGAGCCAGGGAGACAUGCUGACCAUCUGCAGCUGUUCCUGGAGGGUUCCACGUCCUCUGCCCUCUCACUAAUGCCUGAGAUUCUACGGCUAAGUUACAUCCUGUUGCCUUAAAUAAUCAGGCGUGCUUUAAAAUAAAAAUGCUUGCUACAGGAAUAACUGUCUUCAGGUACCACUGAUGUCCUAGUGAAGAUCAGUCAUCACAUCUUUGUAGGGCUGAGGAUCUGAGAACAAGCUUGAUGGGAGAGAGACCACGAGAACACUGGGCUCUGGGGAAAAUGACAAAAUAAUGGGCCCUAGUGGGUCUCUGUCUGCAAGGACUAUGAAAGUCUGGGGGCAACAUCGUCCUCCUCCGUCGUUUUUUGAGAUCUCAAUCAAAUGCAGCCAGGGUCGUGAGCUGCUUCUCUCCUGCAUCUGUCCUCAGUGAUGUAAACACACCUCCUCAUACACCUGCCUCUCUGUGUCUGUGUAUGUUCUCCAUCAGGGGCCUUGACCGAGGCGGUCUUGCCCCCAGCCCCAGGGGCAUGUGGCGACAUCUGGAGACAUCUUCUCGGGGGAGGUGCCGGGGCAUCUAGCGGGGAGGUGGGAACGGCCUACAGUGCACAGGACGGCCCCUCGCAGAGAAUGAUCUGACCCCAAACGUCAACAGUGCCGCACGCGGUUGAGAAACCCUUCUCCAUGUGGAAGCAGAGCUGUGCCCCUCCUCGUUCCAGAAUGCUGGUUUCUAUACCCGUACCUGUGGAAAUACCACUCAACCUUCAAGCCCCCUGUCGAUGCGCCUCUCCCUCACGAGUCUUCUCCUGAUACACCGACGUUCUCACCCGCACGCUUAACCUCUGCUGCUUCCUUUAACACUUACCAGAUACUUCUCUGAAUCAUCACUUGUGACCCCGGCUUAAAGCUGCUAGUAGACUCUGAGCCUCUGUCACGCAGGCGGAGUGACAGCUGGUGAUGCACGAUUACCGCAGGAAGUGGAUUAAAUAACUCAGAAGGACUUCCCUGGUGGCGCAGUGGUUGAGAAUCCUCCUGCCAAUGCAGGGGACACGGGUUCGAGCCCUGGUCCGGGAAGG